rnacentral:rRNA from 1 species
AUUGAACGCUGGCGGCAGGCCUAACACAUGCAAGUCGAGCGGUAGCACAGAGAGCUUGCUCUCGGGUGACGAGCGGCGGACGGGUGAGUAAUGUCUGGGAAACUGCCUGAUGGAGGGGGAUAACUACUGGAAACGGUAGCUAAUACCGCAUAAUGUCGCAGGACCAAAGAGGGGGACCUUCGGGCCUCUUGCCAUCAGAUGUGCCCAGAUGGGAUUAGCUAGUAGGUGGGGUAACGGCUCACCUAGGCGACGAUCCCUAGCUGGUCUGAGAGGAUGACCAGCCACACUGGAACUGAGACACGGUCCAGACUCCUACGGGAGGCAGCAGUGGGGAAUAUUGCACAAUGGGCGCAAGCCUGAUGCAGCCAUGCCGCGUGUAUGAAGAAGGCCUUCGGGUUGUAAAGUACUUUCAGCGAGGAGGAAGGCAUUGUGGUUAAUAACCACAGUGAUUGACGUUACUCGCAGAAGAAGCACCGGCUAACUCCGUGCCAGCCGCCGCGGUAA